GAUGAACGCUGGCGGCGUGCCUAAUACAUGCAAGUCGAGCGAACAGACGAGGAGCUUGCUCCUCUGACGUUAGCGGCGGACGGGUGAGUAACACGUGGAUAACCUACCUAUAAGACUGGGAUAACUUCGGGAAACCGGAGCUAAUACCGGAUAAUAUAUUGAACCGCAUGGUUCAAUAGUGAAAGACGGUUUUGCUGUCACUUAUAGAUGGAUCCGCGCCGCAUUAGCUAGUUGGUAAGGUAACGGCUUACCAAGGCGACGAUGCGUAGCCGACCUGAGAGGGGGAUCGGCCACACUGGAACUGAGGCACGGUCCAGACUCCUACGGGAAGGAGCAGGAGGGAAUCUUCCGGAAUGGGCGGAAGCCUGACGGGGCAACGCCGGGGGGGGGAAGAAGGUCUUCCGAUCGUAAAACCCUGUUAUUAGGGAAAAAAAAAUUUGUAAGGAACUAGGCACGUCUUGACGGUACCUAAUCAGAAAGGCACGGCUAACUACGUG
rnacentral:rRNA from 1 species